rnacentral:rRNA from 1 species
AACGCGAAGAACCUUACCUACUCUUGACAUCCUGCGAAGUGAGCUGAGAGGCUUAUGUGCCGAAAGGAACGCAGAGACAGGUGCUGCAUGGCUGUCGUCAGCUCGUGUUGUGAGAUGUUGGGUUAAGUCCCGUAACGAGCGCAACCCUUGCCCUUAGUUGCUAACAUGUAAUGGUGAGCACUCUAAGGGGACUGCUGGUGAUGAACCGGAGGAAGGCGGGGACGACGUCAAGUCAUCAUGGCCUUUAUGAGUAGGGCUACACACGUGCUACAAUGGGGCGUACAGAGGGUAGCCAACCCGCGAGGGGGAGCCAAUCUCUUAAAGCGUCUCGUAGUCCAGAUUGGAGUCUGCAACUCGACUCCAUGAAGUUGGAAUCGCUAGUAAUCGCGGAUCAGCAUUGCCGCGGUGAAUACGUUCCCGGGCCUUGUACACACCGCUGUA